UCUGCGAUGGACCGUCAUUUGGCAAUCAAGUUUUGUUUGCACGUUGUUGCAGAUUUUGAAUCAUGUAAGCAUAGUUUGUGUCUGAGUCCUUAUUUCCAAAAUGACUACUUCUGAUAUACAUAUGCAUAGGUUCUUAGAUGGGACAUUGGAUGGGAACAUAUCAGUUGGACCAGUACAGGAUCCAACUACCUCUAACAAGAAAUGCACGUGUUCAUGUCAUGAAGUUUCAAGCUCAGGAGUGAAGGAUUCCGUUGCUGGUAAGAAUGAAGAGAACAAAAGAUCAGAUGAAGCUG
rnacentral:lncRNA from 1 species